ACUCACACUAUUUUAACUCAAAUCAGGCUACAGCAGCUGUUUGCUUUCCGGCUCUGAGCUCGGCACCCACAUGGCCUGUGUAGUUCACCCGCGAGCUUUCUUUUGAUCUGGUCACUGGAAGGUGAUUCUAUAAUCUUUGAAAAGAGGAGGGAUAAUUUUACAUCAAGGGAGAGAUUUGGGAUUUGAAGAUCCUCAGAUCCCAGGUCCCAACCAGAUAAGAUCUCCACAGGUGAGUUGAAAGUCAAUAAGUGGUGCCAGAAUCAGGGACCUGAAUGAAAAACUACAAGAAGUGGGGACCCCUGCAGUGAAAGGAAUGCGUCUGGUCAUCCUCCUGCUUGUUGAGAACUUUUUCUUUCAUCAUUUAAAAAAAUCCUCAUUCUUCACCACACCAAGAAAACUCUUGAACAGUAUACAAUGGGACUACAGUUUCCUCUCGGGAUUAUGCAUGUAAAGAUACAGACUGAAGACAGCUUCUGGAGCCACAGGACUGGCAUACUGCCAUUUUGAAGCCAACCAGAAUAUUACUGGAUGGAGACAGAAACUUUGGGGAAUGGAACCACAUGGGAGCUGCUUAGAAUACUGGGGAAGAGCUUUUUCUAACUUUUUGGAAGACCAUGAAGUGAAGAAUAUCUCUCUAACGUGUUCUCUACCAUUGCCUUCUACGAUCUAAAAGCCAAGAUCAAAAUCUUUGAUCAAAAUCUCUAAAAUCAGAAGGACAUAAACAUUUGUGCUUAUAAUUGGAUUAUAUCAGGUAUUUGGCACUACAAACAACAAAAACCACAGGUGUCUUAGCACUGCAUUUAUAAUGAUUUAAUGUAUGAUCUUCUAAGCCGGCAGUAUAACACGACUUUUAUUAGUUUUAUAUUUACUUAUACUAUAUGUGUAUCAGCUUUCAGCAUUAAAAAGAAAGACAUGAAAUUGAGAUAAGGGUGUAUCAGAGGUUACAGGACAGUUGGAAAAAGGAAAUGGCAUAUGGUUAUGGUCAUAUUUUAUUACAGAC